UCUCAGUUCGGAUUGGAGUCUGNAACCCGACUCCAUGAAGCUGGAUUCGCUAGUAAUCGCGCAUCAGCCACGGCGCGGUGAAUACGUUCCCGGGCCUUGUACACACCGCCCGUCAAGCCAUGGAAGCCGGGAGUGCCUGAAGUGCGUGAGCGCAAGCAGCGCCCUAAGGUAAAACCGGUGACUGGGGCUAAGUCGUAACAAGGUACC
rnacentral:rRNA from 1 species